rnacentral:rRNA from 1 species
GCUGCGGUAAUUUGACCGUGCAAAGGUAGCAUAAUCAAUAGUCUUUUAAUUGAAGGCUUGAAUGAACGGCUGGAUAAAAGAGAAGCUGUCUUUUUUUCAAGUUAGAAUUUGACUUUUAAGUGAAAAGGCUUAAAUUAAUUAAGGGGACGAUAAGACCCUAUAAAACUUAAUAAAAGGUUAAUUUUAACUAUGAAUUGUAUUUAAAAGUUGUGAAAUUCUCUUUUUAUUUUGUUGGGGCGACAUUGAUAUAAGCUGUAACUGUCUUGAUAAUAAAAUAGUUAUCACUAUAAGCUGAUCCUUUUUUAGGGAUAAUAAGUAUAAGUUACUUUAGGGAUAACAGCGUAAUUUUUUCUGAGAGUUCUUAUCGAAGAAAGUAGUUGCGACCUCGAUGUUGAAUUAAAAUUUCAUGCAGGUGUAGCCGCUUGCCGUGUGGGUCUGUUCGACCUUUAAAAUU